UACGAAGGGGGCUAGCGUUGCUCGGAAUGACUGGGCGUAAAGCGUGCGCAGGCGGUUAUGUAAGACAGUUGUGAAAUCCCCGGGCUCAACCUGGGAACUGCACCUGUGACUGCAUAGCUAGAGUACGGUAGAGGUACCUGGAAUUCCCAGUGUAGGAGUGAAAUCCGUAGAUAUUGGGAGGAACACCGAUGGCGUAGGCAGGGUACUGGGCUGUUGCUGACACUAAGGCACGAAAGCGUGGGGAGCGAACGGGG
rnacentral:rRNA from 1 species